GACUGCCUGGGAAUGCCCUUCUCCUCCUCCUCUCUUAAAAAAAUUCCUGGCCUGGGCAUCUUUUUCCUGGUUGAAAGGUGUCUAGAUAACCACCUUGGUAGUUUCGGGUGGAUUGGUGAACACAGAAACUGGAUUUGGAGUUGGAUAGUCUUACAUAAACCUGUGGGAAUGCCUGAGUAACUUUUCUCCCCCACAAAGACCACGCAUCCCUCUGUAGAGAUAGGAGUAUUUCUGGUAAAAUAUGCUUCUAGUUGCAGGCUGAUUUUCAGCCUGCCAUUUUAUAAAGUCCUCCUAGACUUGCUGGAAACAUGGAAAAUGCUGUAUCUGCUCUAGUCUACAGCAGUACGACACCAAGCAGUCCACUGAGUUCAGUUCAGCCAGUUAUUACACUUUGUGCACCUACUAAACAAAAGAAAAACAGAGGAUUUCUGUCUUUGAAGAGCUCACAGAUUACAGGUAAAUCCAGGGUAUAGACAUAUAAUCGCAGUUAUCAUGGCUGCCAGGCUAACCACCUUCCCAGGGACUUAGGCUGCUGAAAGUCUUAGAAAAGGACUGUAAAAUCUCCUAACAUCUGAAAGUGGCUAAAAGAGGUAUUAGGAGUUGAUCACUUGGCUCCACUCUCUGGGACUUGCCCAGCACCAGCCACCAUGACAAGCAUCCAAGUUAAAUUCUCACUUCAAAAUCUAAUACCUGCUUGAAGAAUUUCCCAGUUGCCUCUUAGCUUUGCUUCAUGGCACAUACUUGGUAAAUCAAAAUUCUAAACAAAUGUAUCCUGUCAACAAGGGACCAUUUACCACUCCAUAAAUCAACCCGGAUUUUUCAUCCUGCUCUACUGUAUGUGAUGGGUAAAGUAUUCUAAGUGAUCUUUGAAGCAUUUGAUCUCUUUCUUGAGAGAGGCAGCUUUGGGGCACGAUUCCCAAUCUUCUGGGGCAGGCAGGUGCUCUCAGACUUUGGUUUUGAAGUAAUGGUGAUAGCUGUGGUCUUCACUGCGCUAUAGGUCAGUUGACAGGGAGGUUGCUCUCCUUCCACCCUGGGGCUCUUGGUUACCCUUGAAGGAGAGGAAGUAAAAAUCUUCUUAUUUUAAUGACCUAAUCAGAGGGGCUGAAUCAAAAUACCACUUGGCAAUGCCUCGGUACAUGAUUCUCUAAGGCUCACAUGAAGGAAAGGGUAAAUAGUUUGUACUUUCUAUCUAAAUAAACAUUUUCUGAAGUCACAGCACAAAGAGUAGACUACAAGUGCUAAUAUCCAUGGAUAUCAUAUACAAAACAAGAUUAGUACCUGAGCUCAGGAGGGAGUAUUUGUACUUAAAACACCUAAAACAUCAAAUGAAUGAGUCAGAACUUUAGCCUUCAUUCUAUCUGCCUUUGUAAAACACAUCUCUGACUUCUCCGGGUAAACUUGAUCUGAUUCAAACUGGAAACAAGGUAUCUUCUGGCCAAGAUCUUCUCCUUCUUUGAGAUUAAACAGUCUGAAAGGAAAAAUGGGAUUUUCCCUAUUUUAAGAGAAUAAACAUGU
rnacentral:lncRNA from 1 species